GACGAACGCUGGCGGCGUGCUUAGCACAUGCAAGUCGAACGGAAAGGCCCCUUUGGGGGUACUCGAGUGGCGAACGGGUGAGUAACACGUGAGUAACCUGCCCUUGACUUCGGGAUAACUUCAGGAAACUGGGGCUAAUACCGGAUAGGAAUCCUUGCUGCAUGGUGGGGGUUGGAAAGCUUCGGCGGUUUUGGAUGGACUCGCGGCUUAUCAGCUUGUUGGUGGGGUAGUGGCUUACCAAGGCUUUGACGGGUAGCCGGCCUGAGAGGGCGACCGGCCACAUUGGGACUGAGAUACGGCCCAGACUCCUACGGGAGGCAGCAGUGGGGAAGAUUGCACAAUGGGCGGAAGCCUGAUGCAGCAACGCCGCGUGCGGGAUGACGGCCUUCGGGUUGUAAACCGCUUUCAGCAGGGGCGAAGCUUGUGGUGACGGUACCUGCAGAAGAAGCACCGGCUAACUACGUG
rnacentral:rRNA from 1 species